rnacentral:rRNA from 1 species
AACGAACGCUGGCGGCAGGCUUAACACAUGCAAGUCGAGCGCCCCGCAAGGGGGGCGGCAGACGGGUGAGUAACGCGCGGGAAUCUACCCAUCUGUACGGAAUAAAGCAUGGAAACGUGUGCUAAUACCGUAUACGUCCUUCCGGAGAACGAUUUAUCGGAGAUGGAUGAGCCCGCGUUGGAUUAGCUAGUUGGUGGGGUAAAGGCCUACUAAGGCGACGAUCCAUAGCUGGUCUGAGAGGAUGAUCAGCCACACUGGGACUGAGACGCGGCCCAGACUCCUACGGGAGGCAGCAGUGGGGAAUAUUGGACAAUGGGCGCAAGCCUGAUCCAGCCAUGCCGCGUGAGUGAUGAAGGCCCUAGGGUUGUAAAGCUCUUUCACCGGUGAAGAUAAUGACGGUAACCGGAGAAGAAGCCCCGGCUAACUUCGUGCCAGCCGCCGCGGUAACAC